rnacentral:misc_RNA from 1 species
CGUGCCUCUCAGCGCUAACUACUCUCCGUGUGUCUGCUCCCACUAUACAAGCCCACAUGCACACUCAUGUGUUUUGUUCGCGCUGCUCAACGCGCCUGUAACCGGCGUUCGAUACUGUGCAGGUGUGCCUUUCACAAGUUUCUAUCUCUCAUAUACGCAGACUAGCUUUCUUCCUCCAAAGAACACAGGUGGAGAAAAAAGGGAGGGAAAGGAAGCAGAGCAGAGAGAGGAGGGUGGGGCGGGGUGGGAGCUGCAUGACUGCGCAGUUCCAGUGGGGACGGGUGCAUCUCGCAGAUCUUCGGAUUGCACAACCCCAUGCGCGGAUUUACUACCUCAUUCCUUUACAAGCGUUUUUGUUUUCGCUGGCCUCACACACCACCACUCGCACAACCUCCAUCAUCACUUUGGCGCGGUACGACUACAAAACACUACACACCCACACGAAAACCCUCUCCCCUCCUCGGCGAGCAGGGAGGACAAAAAGAGGAGCGGUAGCGUGUCUCUGGCAGUUCAUCGCUUCUUGGCAUCAUAUAUGGUUUUUCUUCUGCUUUCUCUCCCAUGCGGCUUGCUGCUUUUUCUUUUUUUUUCGCUUGAUCCUUUUCCCCUUUGCCCUCAUGCCGCUCUCCGCUCCGUCGCCCUUUUGCGCGACAAAUCGCAGAUGCCGUGCUAUACAGGAAUAGAAGCACACAGGCACAACACACGUGCGCCAGCGCGCAGACACAUGGUCGGCGCGCUGUGCGUAUAAGAGAACACACGCGCCUGCGCCUGCGUCUGCGCAUGCGUGCGUGUAGGUUUGCGCGGUAUGGAGAGGAGAUGAUGUGGUGCAGGUUUCAUUUUGGUGUUCUCGUUCUGCUGGGUGAUGAAUGAUGUGGACGAAGAACAUCACGAAAAGGAAAGAGAUGGGCUAUUCGUUCUACUACUUCGUGCUUCCGUGCUCUGCCCAUUUUUGUGUGCUUUUCAAACGCGGCCUCUGUCGCGACUGUGAUUUACUCUUCUCUCGAUCAUGCUUGCGGAUAUGGACCUCUCACGAUUUCAUGCCCGAGACCAUCUCUUUCUUUUUGCACCAUCCACUACCGUCGGGUUCCCAAGUCGCAGCACAUACUCGCUCCUCUUCCUCUUUGUUUUUCCCCACUUUUCGCUCUUGUUGUUUGUAUAGCCGAAACUUUUACUUUUCUUCCUGAUCAUACUCUCUUUCCGUUUUUCUUUUUUUUUUGCUUUAAGAGCACCACCACCACCCAGCCCCUUUCUUUCCUUUUUUAUCCGUUGUCGUUGUUUCAUUGGUCCCGCUGCCUUUCUGUUUUCUCAUUUUGGUAUUGCAUUUGCUAUAUAGCUUUCUCUCUCUCUUCUCCCUCCAUACUGCUUGUUCUCCUCUCACGUAGACUCCCUCUCUUUUUUCCGCUCACUUACUUUUUGUUGUUUCGCCUUCUCUCGACCUUUGUCUUUCACUGAUUCUUUCGUUCGCCGCCUCAUAUGUUAGCCAUACUCUUCCGCUCCUUUCCUUCCUCCUCUUCCCCCUCCCCAUCCCGCCUCACCAUCAUACACAACGCUCGCUUUCCGUUCCUCCUCGUCCUUACGACUUGUUCGUCGUCAUGCUCCCACUUCUUUCUCCUCCUCCGCCUCCUCCUCCGGCGUCACCUCCGCACUCGCCCUCGUGCGUGUCUCUCCGAUUCACCGGCUCGGUGGCAGUGUGCCAUCUGACGCCUUUUUGUUGUUGUUCUCGUCCGUCAUGUGCGCGCGUGUUUGUGAGCUGCCCUUCACCCAAAGCACAAGUUGAAGGAAUGGUAACGGACGAACCCCAAAAACGCUGACCAAGAAGGAGCAAAAAAAAGCGAGGCGAAUAAGUAAGGAACGGCGCCAUCUGUUCUACGGCGAGGCUUUCUCCCUUUAGAUGACCAAGACCGAAAACUCCCAGGUACGGUAUAUUUUGAGACAGCUGCCAAGGAGAGGUGAGCGGUGCGUGCGAUUCAUGUUGCGCAGACAAACACUUUUCUUGGGUUCUUUUUUUUUUGUUGCUGCUUUACUCCCCCUUUUUAUUUCGCUCUGUGAUCCCUCUUGUCCCUUUUCCUUUUUCGUUUUAUUUUCUUUGACUCCCUUUUUCCUAAUUCUCUUGGUUUUGUGCUGUGGCGUGCUUGUGCUCAUUUUGACUGUGUGUGUGUGUCGUUUCCCCCUUUCUCCCUCUCUUCUUCAUUUUACUUUUCCCCACCUCGGUCUUUCUCGAUCUUCGCCAUUCCUCUCUCGAUUUUCAUGUUUUCAUGUUUUUUUUUCCACCCGUGCCGUUCCAAACGCCCUUCCUCUAGCUCUCUUGCCCCGACUACCCUUCCUUUCUUCUCUCCCUCUCCUGCUUUGCAAUAGCCGCGAAAACACACACACACACACAGAUACCAAAAAGAAAAUCUGACUCUUCUAUAUUUCAUCGGGACCGUUUUUCUUUCUCGCCUCUCUGUUGUGCUCGGCUUUCUUGUCUUCUCUCUGUUUGCCUUUGUCUCUCCCUUCCUUCCGCUCCCCUCGCGUUCCCGUUAUAUCUUUUCCCCUCUUCCCUGUUUCACUUACGGUUUGCGGUGCGUCUACGUUCGAAGCUCCCCAAAAGUAUUUUUAGUUUCCGGCUUGCACACACGUAUACACACAUCCUUGUAGGUGUCUUAUGGUUUUCUCUCUCUCUCUCGUUCUGUUUGUGGCCCCCCCUCCCUUCCCCACUCUUCCCCAGCGGCUGACGCGGCAUCCACGACGUACAUGAACGUGCCGUGUGCAUGCGCUUUUUUUAGCUGAUACGCGACCUCACACCGAACAAAUAGAUGACGGAGAGAAAAGGGCAAACCAAAAAAGUGAAUAAAUGAAAACAGCAACAGCUAAAGAGGAGAGAGAGAGUGGACGUGAGGGAGCGCGGGGGCUGUCCAGCGCGGCGUUCGCGUUCUUCUCUUCUCGUGUUUGCCUUUUCGUUUUUCUUAUUUCAUUUUUUGUUUUUGUUUUCUGUCAGGCGGAAAUCCGUCUUCGGCUUUUCUCCCCUAUGGCGUGUUCAUUAGCGCAUGCGGCUUCUUGUGUUCAUCCCAUGCACCCACGCACGCGUGCACACUCACGCGCGCGCGCGCACACACACACAGCAUCACUUCAUCCCCUCUUUUGCUUGUUUAGCACCCCCACUGCCGCCUCUCUUCUCUCAUUAUCUUUUUCCACUCAUGGCAUGUCUCCGCCCAUCUCCCAAACAUGCGUGAGUGCAUAUGAACAUGUUUCUUAUGCCUUCGUGCGGUUCUCUCACCGUUCUCAUGUGUGGUCGUUGGAGCAGCAUUCACAAAAGUGUCUCAUGCCCUUCUUUCCCCUGCUCCGUUCUCUCUCUAUACGUGCGCAUGUGUGUGUUUUGUGCGCCGGUGUUGCUUCGAUCACGAUAUACAGCGUCAUGCCGAGGAAAAAAAAAACACACAAACAGCAGACGAAAACGACAACGAAAGAAGCGGAGAGUGGACGAAGGGAGGCGACGAUGCGAACCCAAGAACUCUCGCACCCAAGGAGUAAACCACUCCACCCUACUCCUCCCCCCCAAAAAAAAGAAGAAACAAAACCCCCCAAAAAGGUCGUAGAAUGCACAGGAACGAUGAUAAUAAUAAUAAGUAAGACGCACACACACAGACAGACGAAGGAAAAAAAAAGCCGUGACAUAUGCUGAUGUUUUCCUUUUUAUUAUUAUUUGCAUUCUUUUCAUGUGCGCUUUCUCUUCUUUUCGGCCUCUUUGCGUUAUGGUGCCCUGCUUCCACACUUUCAGCGCUGCUCUGCGCAUGUGGAACAGCAACAGCAAGCAGCGGUAACGAAGAACACGAAACAAAAAGAAAGACUACAUGAAAGACGAAAACAUGUGAGAUGACGACAAGGAGAGACAGAGAAGGGAAGGGAGCCAAUUGGAAAAAAAAUCUUGCGGUGCUCGUACAAGGGAAACAGACAGCUUGGCAGAGAGAGAGAGCACAAGGGGGAGAGAGACUCAUGAGCUAGAAAGUAGCGUUGAAGAGUGAAACUACUCACGCGUCUUUUCUCCUUCGUCGUCGCUGCUUCUACCUCUCGCUGAACGUCAUUUUUCGUUCUACGUCUGACGUGCCGACGGCGCAUCGCCGUUCCCUGCAGUGGAGAGGAGGAGGGGGAAAAGUGCCGAAGGCGAACAAUCAAAGGAGGGAACAUAACAAAAAUCAAACAUUAUGGCCCCGCGCGCACGUCCUUCUCCCCCCACCUCUCUCUUCCUCUUCCCGAUGCCUCCUCCUCUCUGCCGUGUUCUCUUGUUCCCUUUGCCCCUUCCACGUCAUUACUCAUGUUUUUUUUUCUUUUGUCCCCCUUGUUUGGGGUGUUUCUACCCUGAGCUCGUCUUUGUUGUUCAUUUAGUGGAGACACGCGCGUGCGCGUCUUAUUUUUGUGUGAGCGAGUGCUUUCUCUCCGCCCCCCUCUUCGAGCCUCCUUGCUGUCUCUCUGCUAAAUCCUCAACUCACUUCGUCUUUUGCUGUGUGUGCGAUCUUCUCCAUGUCUCCUCUUUGUUAGAUCUUUUUUAGUGUUGUUUCUCUUUUCCAGAGUUCUCUAGUCUGUUGUUCGGUUGGAUGGCGUGCCAGAGAGCGCCCUUUUUUCUUCGUGUCUUUCGCUUGUCUUCUCUGUCCAUUUCAUUUCCACCCACCCCCACCCUUUUUGUCCUUGUGUGCGCCUGAAAGCUGCAGCGUACACAAGUGUACGCCUCUUUUUCUUUUCCGCCGCCGUGGUCUGGGCUCGCGCGAGCGCGCGCGUGUGCUCAUCGGUGUCUGUGUCUGUAUGUGUGUGCCUCUCUCUGUCUCUGCGCCCGAGAGAUCCGCCAAACGGUUUUCUUUUUCUAUUGCCUUCUUUGGUGUCUUUACUCGUCGUCCUUCGCUCUUCUUUGCUCUUGUGUGAUGCAUGACCGCUUCUCAUUGCGGGCCUUUCAUUUUGUUCGUGCGCUCCUUUAUCUAAGUUUGUUUCGCCCCGACUUGUAUUUUCGUGAGGGAAACAGCAACACAAAGAAAACGCAUUAAACCAAAAAAAAAGAUGAACCGAUACACUCAUGCUUUUGAACUUUUUGCUUUUCACCAUUUUAGUUGUGGAGGGAAAAUGUUACGCUAUGGGGCGGGCGACAAUGUAUCUUACCCCCUCUCGCUGUGUGUGUAUGUGUGUGUGUGUGUGCGAGUGACUUCAGCCGCUGUCUGCAUCUCUCUCGAUCUCUCUUUCUCUUCGGGAGUGCAUGUGCCGAUGUGUUUGUGCUCAGAUGUGAAGUCUGCUUCCUGUUGCCCGCGAUGCUAAACGAAGCCUUUUUUUAAAGGUCUUUUUUCGUUUCUGUUUGCCUCGUUUUUGGUUGCCGGAGAGAACGAAGAACGCAAUAACGUCACUUAAUAACAAGGAACCGAUGGGAAGAAUAGGAGCAGAGAUUGGAGUUGUGUGUGUGUAAAAGGGUGUCCCUCACGGUUUCCCCGUUCCCCGCCCCCCGACUCUUAACCUCUGUCACGGGAAUAAAACGGCACGGGUGAUGCUCUUGUGGCAGUACCCACGCACACAUUCCCUAUAUAUGUCUCCUUCCCGCCUCUGCUCUAGUUCUCUCCCUCCACACGCCUCUUCCUUUUCGUUUAUAG